rnacentral:lncRNA from 1 species
ACUUCAUGAAAGCAAUCCUGUGCUAACAAAUCAGCUGAAUUUCAAAGACACAGGAGAAAAAGUGAAUUUUAAAACAGCUGGCAGGAAGCAGACUUUGUUUCAUAGUAAGAGCUCCACCAGGAGUGUUGUGUUUUGUAAGUGCACAGCUCCCUGCAUCCAGAGAGGAGUCCAGCUCCAGCAUCUCAGGUGGGAGCUGCAUGCUACCAAAUCCAAUCAAAUCUGUGCACCGAGGGCGAUGCACAACCGCCUGUGAUGGACAGCACACUAAUGGCUUUACCACCUGGAUGUAGGUUGUGCCCUAAAGCACAGGAAAUACUGGAAAGUAUUUCAAACUGCUCAAAAUGUUGUUCUUCCCCCUUUUCAGAAGCCAGCUGGAAAUAUCUGUCGCUGAAGCUGUGCGCUGAAGGAAAUGCAGUAUAACUUAGAGCUGUGUCUUUCCACCCCAGUCCACCAGUGUCUGGAGGAGGAGAGAAAACUGGAAGCAAACAAUCAUCUCCGCUUCGAGAGAACUGCAGGCUGUAAAGAAAGGAGAAAGGGAAACAUGACAGGCAUGUGUGGAAAAUCAGACAGAAGAGGAAUACUUAAUGAAAAAUGGACUAAUGUCUAGACUGCGUGAGCUUAACUUCAAAAGAGUAGCAAUCUACAGUUAAAUCAAUUGAAUAAGCAAAUUAAAUCUUCGCCUUCCUUGUUGACUGGCUUUAAGACAAUGAUAUCCUAACCAAUAUUUAUUUGCUUAGCAUUCCCCAAUGGAAUCAACUGUGACAAUUUACAGUCAGCCCAAGAAACCAAAACCAACAAAUGGAAAACCACACUCCAUUCAAAUUAAACUGCUAUAGUAAUUGUUCCCUCUUUGGGCACGUUUUUGCUAUAUUUUAGUUAUACUUUCAUACAAAAAUGUACCAAAAACUAUUUUAUAUGUAGGCCAAACAAAACAACAUCCUAAACCAGGGCUCCUUAUUGUGACAGUCUGACACGUUUUUGUGACUGUCGUGACAGAUUGGGCAGCAAAAGCUGUGAAGCAGAGGUUGGCUGCAGGGCUUUUCAUUAAGCAUGUUAUCCUCUUGCUCGCUUGUGUGUUCAGGAGGGACAAGAAUCAGCAAGACCAUUUUCAGGUGAAUUAACACGCUGUCAAGGCUGUGCCGUAAUAGUGCUGCAGGCGUGGGGAAGGCAGCAAAGGCACAGCUCUGCAGCCCAAGGGAAGGCCCUGCAGGAGAUGAGACGUGAACAUCUCUCCUGGUGUGGAAGAAACCUGGGGUGAGGAUUUCCUCCUGACCCAGAGCAGGCUGAUCCGGAGCUGGAGUCUGGGCUGAGCCAGAGAUGGUGCCACUGGGCUCAGAUAAGAAAACACCUCGCCCUCCUUCUUCCUCGUGUUAUGAGGUGUGGAUUUGGACUUCAAGGCCAUUCCCA